rnacentral:tRNA from 1 species
GCAGUGGUGGUUCAGUGGUAGAGUCCAUGAAGGAGACCUGGGUUCGAUUCCCGGCCAGUGCA